CACAUUGAAACACCGGUUCCCGUACGAUCACCGAAUUUAAGCAAUGUCAUGCCUAAUAAGUACCUAGAUGGGUAACGCCUUUGGAUUACCAGUUGCUG